ensembl:lincRNA Gm44591 predicted gene 44591
GGAAGAGAGCUGAAUGCCACGAAAUCCCCGCUGUACUGGUUCUAAAAACAGCUGGAUGCCCUGAAAGAUGAAGGUGGACACGGGAGGCAAACAGCCAGAAGGCUUCACCCACAGAUGACAGAUCUUUUCUAGCAUCGAAGAGGACUGAGCUUUUCCAGGGUCCCAUUCUAGCCUCUGGACCUGAGUCUUGGCAGCACUGACUGGUUACCUGCAAGCCACACAGUCAUCCCUUAACCUAUCACUGAAGUCAAAGAGAUGUGAUCUCCCGAUUGAUUGGCUUGGCCAGGUCACAUGCUCACCUCUGAGGUUGAAGUGAGGUGAGGUCUGCAGUUACUGUUUGGUGAGUGGGAAAAAUGAUUAAUUUCCCCCUAGAAAACUUGAAAUUUAUUAAGGUUUAAAAGACUUCAGACAGCAAGCAGGAUCAUAGUCAACUUAGAGCAAAGAGAGCCUACGGAUGGCUGAGGAGUUGUAAAUACAGCACUGACCAGUGGCUCAGACACCUGUCCAAAGGACUCCUCACGGUCCGAGGACUCCCUGAGACAUCAAGGCUCUGUUCCUGCCAGCUGCCAUUGUAACGGUGGCCAUUGUUGAGAAAGCACAAGAUUAACAAGAGCAAAGAUCAAUGUGUUUGUCCUUAUUGUCAGUCAGAUGUCAUGGGGGCCAAUAUUGCCUAAUCACAUAUAGGGAUUGUUGUCAGAGUUUUUACUUAUUUUUAAAUUGUGUGUGUAUGUGUAUGUCUCUGGGUACACUUGUAUAUGUGUGAGUACAGGCACCCACGAAAUCCAGAAAAGGACAUGGGAUACCCUGGAUCUUGAAUUCCAUAAGGGUGUGAGCCAUUGAAUAUGGGUGAUGGGAAAUGACCUCUGGAAGAGCAGUGAGCACUCUUACCCACUGACCAAUCUCUCCAGCCCUGCCUUUAAUUAGUUUUGAUAGACUGUAAGUUUUUGUGUCAUCUUCACCUGCUGUUGACUGUUGUGAACAAGUUGAUGACAUCUUAAGUUGCAGGUUUUAUUAGAAGUCUUAAGGGUCAUCAUUUCCAAAUUUGUUGAUUCUGAUGAUGCUUCUCCAAGUGUCCUUAAUGUUGGAAUAGGAGAGGCCAUUCGGAAAGCCAUAGGUAUCAAAUGGAAAACUUUCUGAGUAGUAGAUUCACCGAAGAGGCCAUAGCAUGGCGGUGUCUUCCUGCUGGAGUCUCUGAGUUAGUCUGACAGACUCAUGGCACUUCUCCCUCUGAGAAGUUUCCAUGAGGUAAGGCCUCAGGAUGUGGCAAUCUCAAAUGACAGACAAAGAGGAACCGUGUUUACAAAUCAGCGGUAUCUGGGGACCAGUGUCAAGUGGAAGAGAGCAGGUCUCACUGUGACUUCCUUCCCAGAAGCCUGGAGUAAAGGCUCUGACAUCAAUGAGAAGGGAAGAGAGGGAUGUCAGCGAUGGCUCCAGUCCCCCAGUGACACUGCCCCUUGUCCACUCUGUUCCAGAGAGAUUCCUGCAACAUUUCUGGAAGCCCCAGUGAGAUCUCCUUCUCCAUGGCCCCAUGGUAGAGACGGGCUGCUGCUCCCUGGUCUCUGAGAACACUAAAGUCUUCUGGAACUGAGAAGCACAAGGGGACUGCGGGACCAAGACCUGGAGUCUCUGGGAAACAUACAUCCUAAACAGGACUUCAGGGUCCUCUCCCAGUGGACAAGGGGACUGCGGGACCAAGACCUGGAGUCUCUGGGAAGCACACAUCCUAAACAGGACUUCAGGGUCCUCUCCCAGUGGACAAGGGGACUGCGGGACCAAGACCUGGAGUCUCUGGGAAGCACACAUCCUAAACAGGACUUCGGGGUCCUCUCCCAGUGGACAAGGGGACUGUGGGACCAAGACCUGGAGUCUCUGAGCGGAAGACCAGAUGAGACUGGGCUGGAUGUCCAGGCCAGGUAAAGACAAAAAAGGGAGAUAGGCAGGAAGAGCCAGCAAUGGCUAGAUCGCCUUGCAGGAUAUUAUAUCUGGAGCCUUGAAGGGAUACUCAGGUAGCACCGGUCCCCAAGGAAAAGGCCUUGAUGAGAUACUCAGGUGGAUUAGUCUUGGAAGAAAUAGACAGACUAAGCAUUUAAAAGGGGGAUGUAUAACUUCUAAGUGAAUGGUGAAUGACUGUGUAGGUGACUGUAAUGCUCCCGCAGCUCCGUGGCUACAGAAUUUGAUUGGGCCUCAACCUCAGAUCGGCUGAAGCCCUUUCAAAUGAACAGGCACUCCCACUCACAAUAGGAGGUGACCAAGUACAAGGUUAUACAUGUGGCUCUAAGGAAAGACCUCUGAAAUUGCCACAUGGUGUCUGGCCAGGCAGAUGCCUGCUUGAGGGAGAAGCUGGUCUCCACCUCACCCUAUUACUACACAGGGUUAGGCACACAUAAACUCCCCCAGUUUCCAGAUAGGGAAUUUUUCUCACCAUGGGAUUUGUAAAAUCCUGAUGUGAAACUCACACAAUCCUGCAAAGACCUUUGUGAUGGUUUGUAUAUCCUUGGACCAGGGAGUGGCACCAUCUGAAGGUGUGGCCUUGUUGGAAUAGGUGUGACCUGGUUGGAAUGGGUGUGUCACUNNNUGUAAGCCAGCCCCAAUUAAAUGUUGUUUUUUAUAAGACUUGCCUUGGUCAUGGUGUCUGUUCACAGCAGUAAAACCUUAACUAAGACAACCUUUAAGCACAAAGACUCCAAGGAAGCACCCCCUUAGUGUCCCUGGAGGAUGAAAUCUUGCCCGUGGUGCUGUCUCCCUACCCUACUGGCUCCAGUUGUCAGCGCCACAUGGUGCCAAGGCAGCUGCAAGACUACCUGACCCUGUCCUUUCUACUGCCACUGAGGGAAAUGCCAGGCCCUCCCCUUAUCCAAGAAGGUGACAGCUAUGUUACCUGACCCUAAAUCUGGCCACAUAUUUGCCAGGAGGGAGAGCCCUUCCACGAUUGUGGAGAAACUAUAAAAGUGAUUUUUUUUUCCCUCACAGUCAGAUUUAAAGGUCAAGCUACUUCCCAAUGCAGGUAUGGAACUUUUACCAGUCCUAGUGACCUGAAAUGGAGCCCUAGUACCACAUGGUAGAAGGAAAGAAAAGACCUCUCUGCCUUCCACACAUAGGUAGUGGCACCCCCACACAUUAAACAAAUAAACAGAAAAUAACAUAGCAUGAAGUCUCCCCAUCAGUAUAAGAGAUCAGCUUCCCAGCUUUCAUACCGACUAUCCCCUAUGAAUCCUGCAGCCACCUUGUAUCGUACGACUGUCCCCUAUCCUGCAGCUCCCCUGUGAGUUAGGUAGACAGAUAGCACUUGCCCAGUGUAACAUAGCCAUCUUGGGCUCCCUGCCCAGUGCUGCCUCAGGCGCUGAAAGUCCUGACAGUGAGUCUGUGCUAAGAGGAGUUUCCACUCUUCCUCCCACGGUUGCAUACCGCUUAGGCUUAAACACCAGGCCUAUGUGACGCCAUGGCUUCUCAGUUAACCCAAGUCAUGGAGUGGAAGGCAAUGAAGGGCCUAUGAAUGUGUUUAUGUAAGAGAGAUUUUGCUAAGAUAUUAGCCUAUCCUUGAAUUCUUCAUAGAGCCAGAUGAGCCAGUUUUUUUUUGUUUUUUUGUUUUGUUUUGUUUUUAAUUAUGUAUGAUGUGUGGGUGUGGGUGUGGGUGAGCAUGCACAUGCCUGCAUGUACGUGGGUAGCUCAGAGGUUAAUGUCUGGUGUCUUCCUCAAUGGUUCUAUGUCUUAAUCUUGAUACAAGGUUUCACAACUGAACUUGUGACUUGCUGUUUCAGCAGGACUUGAUGGCCAUAGUAUCUCUGCCUUUUUCCCUGUGCUGGGAUUAUAGUGUUGCUCCUGGCUUUUAUAUGGGUGCUUGGGAUUUGAACCCAGGUCUUCGUGUUUAUGCAGCAAACAGCUUACCCACCAAAGCACCCCUAGCCCAUAAGCCAGCUUCUCUGUUUCAGGAUCUUAUCUGCUCUUCAGCUUUUGUUCACUUCCCACUUCCUGGGGUGAAGUGCAGUCUCUAGGUGAGGACAGCCAAGGCUCCUCUUCACUAUCAGCUUGAUUGGAUGUAGACUGACUGUGGAAGCUCACCUCUGGGGUGUGUCAUCGAGGGUGUGUCUAGAGAGAGUUAACUGGAAAGGGAAGACCCAUCCUGAGUGUGGAUAUGCUGUGCUAUCCCUGGGAAAAGAUCGAGGACAAGAAGACCAUGAGCGAGGCACCAGUGUUCAUCUCUCUCUGCUUGCUGACCAUUGAUAUGUGGUCCACUGCUUCACAGUCCUGCCUCCAUGGCCUCUCCACCCUGAUGAACUUCAGUGUGAAAGCCAAAAUGGAUGUGAAACACCUGUGCCAAGCAUUCCAUCUCAGCAAUGAGAAACACACAAGGUCUCUGUGAACCGUGACAAAAAAUGUUACGAGUUCAUAAAUCAAACCCAGUGUUAUCUUCUCCACACGGUAAGACUUAGGUUAUUGGUUGACCUUCUGUGGACCCCAGAUCCUUCAGUGUUAAGCUGCUAGAUUGUUAAUUAAAAUUGAAAACAUG